AGUUGGUGGAGUGAUUUGUCUGGUUUAUUCCGAUAACGAACGAGACCUUAACCUGCUAAAUAGUAAUGUGUAUCUCCGGAUAUGCAAGUACUUCUUAGAGGGACUUUGUGAUUUCAAGCGCAAGGAAGUUUGAGGCAAUAACAGGU
rnacentral:rRNA from 1 species